rnacentral:lncRNA from 1 species
GAUCUUCGCGUUGAAAUUCAUUUGAAGCACAUGGGAUUUGCAUUUCAGACAUAAUGUGUGCAUCCGAUGUAAUGGAAACUACCGGCCACAAGUGGAGAUGGGGCUCUUUCAUUUUGUAGUCUUCACGAGGUCCACCUAGACGGUAAACAAAAGCACGGCAACAACAUUGACCUGUUUCAGCAUUGGUAACCUCUUCAUUUCAAGUUUUAAUUUUUAAUUUGAUCUUUGGACUGUACAAAAUCUGAUUUUGCCUCACAUAUUGUCAAUUGUCUGUGUGUUGUUAAAACAUAUCAUUAUUAUAUUAUGUAUAUUGUGAAAUGGGUUGUGUGAAAAAAUAAUGAAGUACUGGUUGUGAAGUAUUAUGCAUAUCAUUGUUAAAAUUUGUUGUUAUAAGUACUGUGAAGUUCAGUGUUUGAGUAUUUGAGACGCAGGGUAUUUCGCAUUAAUCUUUGAAUAAAUACAAAUAUUUUGGUUGUUGGUUUGUCGUGUUUAUGUGAAUCAAACCAAGUGAUUGUUGUUUAGGAAAAUCGUAUGUAUUUAUCGGGCUGUAGUUAUUAUCCUGUAAGAGUUUUUAGGGUGAUUUAUUUUUGAAGUAUUAAGAUGUAUGUCAUGCUUGUCAACCGUGAAUCCUGUUACGUUUGGGCUGUUUUGGCUGAGGAAUAUUAGGCCCAUUGAGACAUUAUUGUUGGCACCCCAUGGUUUUUUCCGUUAUUGUUUAAAGAUGAUUCUCAUAAGUUUUUUUUUUCAGUUCGAUUACAAUAAUUAUGAAUUAAUAGUUUUUGGAAUGAUUAUUGAAAUAAUAAUGCUGAGUUGUUGCUGUAUUUUUAUUUAUCGCGAUGAAAGUUAGUUUUUUUUUUGAUUUACGGAUUCGGCAAUCUCAUGUCGAU